AAAACUAGGACAAAGAUCCAUAAGCAUUCUCUUUAUAUGAUACAACUCUUUAUAUGAUACAACUCUUCCAUUUGUCAUCCUCAUUUUAAAUAAACCAACGAGAUGGUAUUUAAUAAAUGGUAUUUUGGGCAUUAAUUGUGGAUCACCACAUUGACAAAUGACAAGAACUUAAUAUGACAAAGAAAACAAAAAUAAGUUAUAGAAUGCAGAAAUGUUAGAUCGUAAAACCUCAAUAGGGUCAAGAUUA
rnacentral:misc_RNA from 1 species